GCCGUGGUAGCCUGCAAACCAGGCAGAGAGGAGAGAGAGACAGGGAGGCAGGGAGGCAGGGAGAGGGAUACAGACAGAUAGAGAGCUGGAGGCAGGGAGGCAGGGAGGCAGGGAGAGGGAUACAGACAGAUAGAGAGCUGGAGGCAGGGAGGCAGGGAGAGGGAUACAGACAGAUAGAGAGAUGGAGGAAGGGAGAGGGAUACAGACAGAUAGAGAGCUGGAGGCAGGGAGAGGGAUACAGACAGAUAGAGAGCUGGGGACAGGGAGGCAGGGAGAGGGAUACAGACAGAUAGAGAGAUGGAGGCAGGGAGGCAGGGAGAGGGAUACAGACAGAUAGAGAGAUGGAGGCAGGGAGGCAGGGAGAGGGAUACAGACAGAUAGAGAGCUGGAGGCAGGGAGGCAGGGAGAGGGAUACAGACAGAUAGAGAGCUGGAGGCAGGGAGAGGGAUACAGACAGAUAGAGAGAUGGAGGAAGGGAGAGGGAUACAGACAGAUAGAGAGCUGGAGGCAGGGAGGCAGGGAGAGGGAUACAGACAGAUAGAGAGCUGGGGGCAGGGAGAGGGAUAUAGACAGAGAGAGAGAGAUGGAGUCAGGGAGGCAGGGAGAGGGAUACAGAGAGAUAGAGAGAUGGAGGCAGGGAGAGGGAUACAGACAGAGAGAGAGAUGGAGGCAGGGAGAGGGAUACAGAAAGAGAGAGAGAUGGAGGCAGGGAGAGGGAUACAGAAAGAGAGAAGGAGAGUGCUGGAAAACAGUGCUGGGAGACAGGGAUGGAUGGGGCUAGAGGAAGGAUAUUUGUUUUGUCUAGGCACACUCAUAAACACUGAACUUCCGUUGCCAAAGGAAACAGAACAAAAAGCCCAGUAUAUUUGUGUGUGUGUGUGUGUGUGUGUGUGUGUGUGUGUGUGUGUGUGUGUGUGUGUGUGUGUGUGUGUGUGUGUGUGUGUGUGUGUGUGUGAG
ensembl:lncRNA